rnacentral:rRNA from 1 species
ACGCUGGCGGCGUGCUUAGCACAUGCAAGUCGAACGGAAAGGCCCUGCUUUUGUGGGGUGCUCGAGUGGCGAACGGGUGAGUAACACGUGAGUAACCUGCCCUUGACUUUGGGAUAACUUCAGGAAACUGGGGCUAAUACCGGAUAGGAGCUCCUGCUGCAUGGUGGGGGUUGGAAAGUUUCGGCGGUUGGGGAUGGACUCGCGGCUUAUCAGCUUGUUGGUGGGGUAGUGGCUUACCAAGGCUUUGACGGGUAGCCGGCCUGAGAGGGUGACCGGCCACAUUGGGACUGAGAUACGGCCCAGACUCCUACGGGAGGCAGCAGUGGGGAAUAUUGCACAAUGGGCGGAAGCCUGAUGCAGCAACGCCGCGUGUGGGAUGACGGCCUUCGGGUUGUAAACCGCUUUCGCCUGUGACGAAGCGUGAGUGACGGUAAUGGGUAAAGAAGCACCGGCUAACUACGUGCCAGCAGCCGCGGUGAUACGUAGGGUGCGAGCGUUGUCCGGAUUUAUUGGGCGUAAAGGGCUCGUAGGUGGUUGAUCGCGUCGGAAGUGUAAUCUUGGGGCUUAACCCUGAGCGUGCUUUCGAUACGGGUUGACUUGAGGAAGGUAGGGGAGAAUGGAAUUCCUGGUGGAGCGGUGGAAUGCGCAGAUAUCAGGAGGAACACCAGUGGCGAAAGCGGUUCUCUGGGCCUUUACUGACGCUGAGGAGCGAAAGCGUGGGGAGCGAACAGGCUUAGAUACCCUGGUAGUCCACGCUGUAAACGGUGGGUACUAGGUGUGGGGUCCAUUCCACGGGUUCCGCGCGUAGCUAACGCUUUAAGUAGCCCCGCCUGGGGAGUACGGCCGCAAGGCUAAAACUCAAAGAAAUUGACGGGGGCCCGCACAAGCGGCGGAGCAUGCGGA